rnacentral:misc_RNA from 1 species
UCAUGCACGUCCACCCAUAAUGUCAUAUAUCUGUAGAACUUAUGCUCUUAUCCUUUUUGUGGCUUUUGUGCUUCUCUGCGUGAUAAAAUAUGAAGGCCCCUCAUCCGCGCUCGCAAGUCCACUUUUCCGACGUAGCAAGUCAAAAGACAGUAGAGGUUUACCGGCAAGCGGGGGAAGAAAGCUAGGUAGCCCUGGAAACCUCGCACAUCAGAGCCCGGAUAGGUUACCGAGAACUGGAAGUAAAGGAGAUAAUUAUAAGGCACCGAAUGGGCAGACACACUCAGGUGGACGUUCACGAAGCCGACAUAAAUAUAAGGCACCGAAUGGGCAGACACACUCAGGUGGACGUUCACGAAGCCAACCAAACUUUAAGGCCACCGAGUGGGCAGACACACUCAGGUAGACGUUCACGAAGCCCGGAAGACCCGGAGAAGAGAAAACGGCGGCUGGAAAGAGUCAGCAGAAUAAUGUGAUGAUGACUACCCCGACUCUUCUCUGGCUUGGUGCCGCACCAUAAUGUUUGUUAUAAACACGCUGACAAUAAAUGUUUUGCUUUA